AUGUUGCGGCUGUGGAAGGACCGAAGACCAGGAAAGGCCACAGCACAGUACCUGCUGAGAGGUCUGGAAGACAUGAAGGACCUACCUGACGAGACUCGACGGUUAUUGAAAGAACUUGGAAGGAUUCGCUCUGAAUUAAUCGACAGGUUGUCGUACGACGAUGUCAUCUAUCUCCUGCAUUACCUUAGAAAGAUGAAUGUGUUGAAUGACCAGGAGAUGAAGAAUGUAGAGGGGAAGAUGACCAGUGAAGACAGAGCACGUUGUCUCAUUGCUACGGUGAUGGAGAAAGGGGAGAGAGGAAGUAGCCUGAUGGUUGAUUAUCUGACGGAGAGGCACCCUGACCUAUGCUGGACCCUGGGUCUGACCCCAACUUCUGCUCGGUUCAGUGAGUUUAACAUGUUAAUGAAGUUCCCUCAUUAUGUGUGUAAAGUUUUUUCAGCAACUAAUUUGCUGAAGUUUCGGUGUCAAUCAAAGUAAUUGCUGUUAAGAAUAAUGCACCUCUUCACCUGCAGGGGCCCAGAAUCACACAUAAACAGCGUCUUCUUUUAAGCAUGUGCGUGCGUGCGUGCGUGCGUGCGUGCGUGCGUGCGUGCGUGCGUGCGUGCGUGCGUGCGUGCGUGCGUGCGUGCGUGCGUGCGUGCGUGCGUGCGUGCGUGCGUGCGUGCGUGCGUGCGUGCGUGCGUGCGUGCGUUCCCCGCGCGGGCGGGCGGGCUGUGAAUACCUCGGGGGCUGCUUGCAGUCCUAGUUGCUGUUAUUAUUAUUAGGGGUCCAAGCCAACAGGUUGGAUCCCUAUUGUUUUUGUAAGGAUUAUUAUUAGGGGUCCAAGCCAACAGGUUGGAUCCCUAUUGUUUUUGUAGUGUUUAUUAUUAUUAUUAUACUUACCUCCCUAAAAGUGUGCCCACAGCCCAAACCGUAAAUGGUGCCGACACGCCAAUUGCAUGACUAGAUCCAGAUCCGUGGGGACUACGCAGACGACAAAAUCCAGACAUGCCGGCCACUAGGUGGCGCUAUACCAAGGAAUACGCGUUUGGGGCUAUAACUCCCACACCGAACCUCCCACAGUCAAAAACUUGUACGCACAUAUUCACUGGAGUCUGCUGCAUCUUUUGGCAUAGGCCACGCCCAUUUGCGUCUAGAAUUUUUUUUCGCAAAAUCGCGAAAACCGCAAAACUGUUUUUUCCCUACUCCUCCCACAUUUCUUGACCAAUCAACACCAAACUUUGCAAACGGCAUCUUCAGACGCACACGCAAAGAAUGCUCGAACACUUUUUUGAUCCGACCUUCGACGACGAAACGGUAGCGUUUUGAAUAUUGGUUUAUGAGCUAAAUUAGACGUGGAAAAUCAAAAAUCCAAAAAAAUCAAAAAUUACACAUCGGAUCGAGUCCAAAUUUAACACACAUGUUAGCGCCACCCUUAACGACGUUCGAAUAAAAAUUCGGAAAAUUACGCCCUAAGGGGGCGCUAUAAACGAGGAAAUUGUAUAUCUUCUAAUUGGCCAAAGGAAUGUUCUUCAAACUCAAGGGAAAACAUCAAGGGGCAAACCCGAGUCUAUAUAGAAAAUAUGGCCAAGAAUUAUUAAUGUUGGCGGGAGUUAUUUGGCAAAGGAAAAUUGUCUUUGGAAAAUUUCGCCACAAGGCGGCGCCAAAAAACGACAACAUUGUCUAUCUCCUAUUUGGCCAAUGGAAUGUUCUGAAAACGCGUUUUAGGCUGUAACUCCCACACCGAAGCUCCCACAGUCAAAACCUUUAUAUUCACAUGUUGUUCACGGUAGCGUUUUGAACACUUGCUUCGCGUUGUGCCGGCGAAAUGCACAUUUCUUGUCGCGUUGUGCCGGCGAAAUGCACACUUCUUGGACCCCUGCAUAACUGCUUGCAGUUCUAGUUAUUAGGGGUCCAAGCCAACAGGUUGGAUCCCUAUUGUUUUUGUAAGGAUUUUUAUUAUUUUUAUUAUACUUCCCGCGCUAAAAGUGGGCCCACAGCCCAAACCGUAAAUGGUGCCGACACGCCAAAUGCAUGACUUGAUCCAGGUCCGGCACCGCUACUCAGAUAACAAAAUCCAGACACGCCGGCCACUAGGUGGCGCUAUACCAAGGAAAGACGCGUUUGGGGCUAUAACUCCCACACCGAACCUCCCACAUUCAAAACCUUGUACACACAUAUUCACUGGAGUCUGCUGCAUCUUUUGGCAUAGGCCACGCCCACUUGCGUCCAUAAUUUUUUUUUGCAAAAUCGCGAAAACCCCAAAACUGUUUUUUCCCUACUCCUCCCACAUUUCUUGACCAAUCGACACCAAACUUUGCACACGACAUCUUCAGGCGCACACGCAAAGAAAGCACGAAACACUUUUUUGAUCCGUCCUUCGAUUACGAAACGGUAGCGUUUUGAAUAUUGGUUUAUUAGCUAAAUUAGACGUGGAAUAUCAAAAAUCCAAAGAAAUCCAGAAUUAGACAUCGGAUCGAGUCCAAAUUUGACACACAUGUUGGUGUUAACCUUAAUGUCGUUCGAUAAAAAAUUCGGACAAAUUCGCCAUUAGGGGGCGCAAUAAACGAGGAAAUUGUAUAUCUUCUACAAAAUUUCGCCGCGAAAACGCUAGACUGACUUCUCGCUACUCCUACCACAGUCAAAUCCUUUGUAUCCACAGGUUCAGGGUAGCGUUUUGAACACAUGCUUCGCGUUGUGCCGGCGAAACGCACAUUUCUUGUCGCGUUGUGCCGGCGAAAUGCACACUUCUUGGACCCCUGCAUAACUGCUUGCAGUUCUAGUUCUUAUACUUCCUACCAAGAAAGUGGUACCACAGCCCAGACCGUAAAUGUUGCCGACAUGCCAAUUGCAUGACUAGAUCCAGGUCCGUGAAGACUAUGCAGACGACAAAAUCCAGACACGCCGGCCACUAGGUGGCGCUAUACCAAGGAAAGACGCGUUUGGGGCUAUAACUCCCACACCGAACCUCCCACAGUCAAAAACUUGUACGCACAUAUUCACUGGAGUCUGCUGCAUCUUUUGGCAUAGGCCACGCCCAUUUGCGUCUAGAAUUUUUUUUCGCAAAAUCGCGAAAACCGCAAAACUGUUUUUUCCCUACUCCUCCCACAUUUCUUGACCAAUCGACACCAAACUUUGCACACGACAUCUUCAGACACACACGCAAAGAAUGCACGAAAGACUUUUUUGAUCCGACCUUCGACGACGAAACGGUAGCGUUUUGAAUAUUGGUUUAUUAGCUAAAUUAGACGUGGAAUAGCAAAAAUCCAAAGAAAUCCAAAAUGAGACAUCGGAUCGAGUCCAAAUUUUACACACGUGUUGGUGCUAACCUUAAUGUCGUUCGAUAAAAUUUUCGGAAAAUUUCGCCAUUAGGGGGCGCAAUAAACGAGGAAAUUGUAUAUCUUCUAAUUGGCCAAAGGAAUGUUCUUCAAACUCAAGGGACACCAUCAAGGGGCAAACCCGAGUCUAUAUAGAAAAUAUGGCCAAGAAUUAUUAAUGUGGGCGGGAGUUAUUUGGCAAAGGAAAAUUGUCCUUGGAAAAUUUCGCCACAGGGCGGCGCCAAAAAACGACGACAUUGUCUAUGUCCUAUUUGGCCAACGUUCUGAAAACGCGUUUUAGGCUAUAACUCCCACACCGAAGCUCCCACAGUCAAAACCUUUAUAUCCACAGGUUCAGGGUAGCGUUUUGAACACAUGCUUCGCGUUGUGCCGGCGAAACGCACAUUUCUUGUCGCGUUGUGCCGGCGAAAUGCACACUUCUUGGACCCCUGCAUAACUGCUUGCAGUUCUAGUUAUUAUUAUUAGGGGUCCAAGCCAACAGGUUGGAUCCCUAUUGUUUUUGUAGUGUUUAUUAUUAUUCCCCCCUAGAAGUGGGUCCACAGCCCAAACCGUAAAUGGUGCCGACACGCCAAUUGCAUGACUAGAUCCAGGUCCCUGAGUUCUAAGCAGACGACCAAAUCCAGACACGCCGGCCACUAGGUGGCGCUAUACCAAGGGAAAACGCGUUUGGGGCUAUAACUCCCACACCGAACCUCCCACAGUCAAAAACUUGUACGCACGUAUUCACUGGAGUCUGCUGCAUCUUUUGGCAUAGGCCACGCCCAUUUGCGUCUACAAUUUUUUUUCGCAAAAUCGCGAAAACCGCAAAACUGUUUUUUCCCUACUCCUCCCACAUUUCUUGACCAAUCUACACCAAACUUUGCACACGACAUCUUCAGACGCACACGCAAAGAAUGCACGAAACACUUUUUUGAUGCGACCUUUGACGACGAAACGGUAGCGUUUUGAAUAUUGGUUUAUUAGCUAAAUUAGACGUGGAAUAUCCAAAAUCCAAAGAAAUCCAAAAUUAGACAUCGGAUCGAGUCCAAAUUGUACACACAUGUUGGUGUUAACCUUAACGUCGUUCGAUAAAAAAUUCGGAAAAAUCCGCCAUUAGGGGGCGCAAUAAACGAGGAAAUUGUAUAUCGUCUACAGAAUUUCGCCGCGAAAACGCUACACUGACUUCUCGCUACUCCUACCACAGUCAAAUCCUUUGUAUCCACAGGUUCAGGGUAGCGUUUUGAACACAUGCUUCGCGUUGUGCCGGCGAAACGCACAUUUCUUGUCGCGUUGUGCCGGCGAAAUGCACACUUCUUGGACCCCUGCAUAACUGCUUGCAGUUCUAGUUAUUAGGGGUCCAAGCCAACAGGUUGGAUCCCUAUUGUUUUUGUAAGGAUUUUUAUUAUACUUCCCAUCUAGAAGUGGUACCACAGCCCAAACCGUAAAUGGUGCACACGCGCCAAUUGCAUCACUAGAUCCAGGUUCGUGAACACUACGCAGACGACAAAAUCCAGACAUGCCGGCCACUAGGUGGCGCUAUACCAAGGAAUACGCGUUUGGGGCUAUAACUCCCACACCGAACCUCCCACAGUCAAAAACUUGUGCCCACAUAUUCACUGGAGUCUGCUGCAUCUUUUGGCAUAGGCCACGCCCAUUUGCGUCUUGAAUUUUUUUUCGCAAAAUCGCGAAAACCGCAAAACUGUUUUUUCCCUACUCCUCCCACAUUCCUUGACCAAUCAACACCAAACUUUGCACACGAUAUCUUCAGACGCACACGCAAAGAAUGCACGAAACACUUUUUUGAUGCGACCUUUGACGACGAAACGGUAGCGCUUUGAAUAUUGGUUUAUUAGCUAAAUUAGACGUGGAAUAUCAAAAAUCCAAAGAAAUCCAAAAUUAGACAUCGGAUCGAGUCCAUAUUUUACA
ensembl:lncRNA